rnacentral:lncRNA from 1 species
GGCCUCGUCAUCAUUUUGUGUGUUCGCGACAUUUUCUUCCGGUCUACUACACCUAAUUGGAAGGGUUGAAUUUGCUGGAACCUACACAUGUUGAAAACAAUAAGUUGGUUAAAAGGCACUUAAAUGAUUACACAAACCAUUAACUGAUAAGAGCAAUGUAGAGAUAGCAAGACCAUUUUUCGACCCUUUGAUUUUUUUGAACUCGCCUCCAACGGACUCUUUUUGCGCAAUUUUUUGGGGGCACCCUUUCUUUUCGUAAGCUUCGGGUCCAAAAUGUGCAAGCUUUCGUCAUUCCGAGCUUCAGACACGUGCAAACCCCGAGUUACCAACGUCUGAUUUAGAUAAUUGGUUUGUUUGGAAUUCAAUCCACCCCAAUAGAUGAUUAGACCGUUCUUCGUUUCGCGCUACCAAGUCUGCCAUCUUGGUAAAAGCGUGACGCAACCUCUCAUACCUUAAUUGUUCAGCUGUACAAACCAAACCAUCGUAUGUUGCUGGAACUCGUAUGUAUGGUCUACUAACAUCUCGCCUCCAUCUCCGCAAGACAUACUUAUCCGGAAGCAAUUGUACGUCAUUCCGAAUUAAAACCGAUAUUGAGUGUUUGCAAAUGAUGCCUCGAAACUCAAACAAAUGACAAUUGCAAUCAAUCUCACAACUGUCUCUACGGAAAUGAACUAUAAACAUUCUUUUCUUCAUUCCUUCACUGAGAAUGAUAUCCUCACGUACUUCGUACUUCGUUUGCUCGAGCGAGUCUGUUGUAGAUAAGACUUCACAGUAUACCUUCCCCGUGAAUUCUUGUUGGAACUCUCUAAAUUUUGAUAAAGUAUACACAUCUUGAAAUUGUUUCUCCAUAUCAUACUUAGUGGCACAUGGAAUCAUUUGUGAAAAUGAUCUAAAAUCAGCUUGAAAUUCCUUCUCCACUUUACUUCGCAAUGCCCGCUCAUAUUGCUCAACAAAAAGCUUUAAAGAAGUUUUCGAAUGCACAUAACCGUCAAAAAAUGUAUUCAUGCUCUCACUCCUUUGUGUGGUUGACAUACCAACCCAGAAUGUAGUGUUCAGGUAGCAUGGUACCCAACGACUUCUCUCUUUAUAGAGUCCACUCAACCAAUCAUGAUCUCGUAAUUUAAAAUGAUCAAGUAUAUUCAACCAUCCUUCCUCAAAUUCUUCACAACUUAUUGUGUCGUAGACUAACACAUGUAUAGCAUGUAAUAUUGAGCCUUUGGCUUUGUGAUAGCCAAACUUUUCCGGCAACUUCUUUAGUAUAUGUCAUAAGCACCAUCUAUGCUUCGUGUUAGGGAAGACAAUUUGAAUAGCAUUUUGCAUAGCUCGAUCUUGAUCUGUAAUUAUUCCAUUAGGAGCUUGAUCAUUCAUGCAUUCUAGCCAUGUCCGAAAUAACCAAACAAAUGUGUUAGUAUCUUCAUUUGAAACCAAACCACAACCAAGAAGAGUUGACUGCCCAUGGUGAUUGGCCCCCACAAAAGGAGCAAAAGGCAUAUCAUACUUGUUAGUGAGGUAUGUGGUAUCAAAUGUAACGACAUCCCCAAAUUCCUUAUAUGCUUCACGACAUCUGUUAUCUGCCCAAAACACAUUUCUGAACCGACAAUCAUCAUCCAAGUCCAUGCAAAAGAAAAAACCAGGACUACGAGUUUGCAUUUCCGAGAAAUAUGCUUGAAUUGCAACGGCAUCCCCUUCCCCAAGUCUUAAACGUCGCACUUUCUCGAUGAAGUUUCUGCAAUCUUUCUCAACACAUGUCAUGUUAUCAAAACCACCCGCCUCCACUACAGUUGAAUUAAAGCUCUUAUGCAAUGGUAUUCCUGCUAUGUCAUUUACCUCAAGCUUUCUUUUCACACGUUCACUAACUUGCCUAUUACAUCUGUACAACCUAAACUUAGAUGGGCUUGUUUUAUGGUUAUGCUCUAAAUGCAAAAAGUUUAUUCGAAACAAUUUACGUGCAUCAGAGGACACAGUCAAUUUGGCUUUACACCCAGUUUGGAUUGUUGGUAGAGGAUUCAAGGAAGUACUUUGGUUACGAUUUCGUCGCCCUUCUCGACUACAGGUAAAACUCACAUUCCUUACUAUCCCAUCAUCUCCCCUCUUUGUAGUUCGUUUUCUAACAGGAAAUCCUACAUGAUAAGCAUAUCUCUUGUAGAAUUCGAAUACUUCGAUCUCAUCCGCAAAUUUUUGUAGGCACAACUAUCUCAUUUUCAACACCUACUAUUUUGUUGGCCAAAACGUCGUCACCCACAAUAUUAGACGAGUUAACAUCCACUCCUUCAAGAAUGCCAUCAUCCACUCCUGCAAGAAUGCCAUUUCACAUUAGGCUUUACACCAAUAGACAUGAUACGAUUGUUUCAAUGUAAAU